UGAGGCAUGGUAGGGGCCAUCGGAACCGAUAGGUGGAGUGGUGAAAUGCGUUGAUAUUCUAUCGGAACACCAAAGGUGAAAACAGGUGGCAUGGGCCUGUCCUGACGCUCAUGUACGAAAGCGUGGGGAGCGAACGGGAUUAGAUACCCCGGUAGUCCACGCCGUAAACGAUGUGCACUAGAUCGAGGGGGUUUUGACGCCGUCUCGGUCGAAGCGAAAGUGUUAAGUGCACCGCCUUGGGGAGUACGGUCGCAAGGCUAAAACUCAAAGGAAAUUGACGGGGGGCUCACACAAGCGGUGGAGCAUGUGGCUUAAUUCGAAGCAACGCGAAGAACCUUAUCCUGGGCUUGAACUACGCGGAUUAGCUUCUGGAAACAGGAGUGACGCCUUCUGGGUGGAACGUCGAUAGGUGCUGCAUGGCUGUCGUCAGCUCGUGCUGUGAAGUGUCGGGUUAAGUCCCUUAACGAGCGCAACCCUUAUCGCUAGUUGCCAGCGAGUCAUGUCGGGGACUCUAGCGAGACUGCCGGUGUCAAACCGGAGGAAGGUGGGGAUGACGUCAAGUCCGCAUGGCCUUUAUGCCCAGGGCUGCACACGUGCUACAAUGGUCGGUACAGAACGAAGCAAGACCGCAAGGUGGAGCAAAUCGCUAAAGCCGUGCCCCAGUUCGGAUUGCAGGCUGCAACUCGCCUGCAUGAAGCUGGAAUCGCUAGUAAUCGUGGAUCAGCUACGCCACGGUGAAUACGUUCCUGAGCCUUGUACACACCGCCCGUCAAGUCAUGGAAGCUGGCAGCGCCCGAAGUCGCCUCGAUUCAGGGGUGCCCACGGUGAGGCUGGUGACUGGGACUAAGUCGUAACAAGGUAACCGU
rnacentral:rRNA from 1 species